rnacentral:rRNA from 1 species
AACGAACGGCUGGCGGCGUGGAUAAGGCAUGCAAGUCGAGCGAGAAGUUCCCUCGGGAGCGAGUACAGCGGCAAACGGGUGAGUAACACGUGAGUAACCUGCCCCUGGGUGGGGGAACAACCCCGGGAAACCGGGACUAAUACCGCAUAACGUUGUCCGAACACAAGUUGGGAUAACCAAAGGGGGGGACCUUCGGGCCUCCCGCCUGGGGAGGGGCUCGCGCCUGAUUAGCUAGUUGGUGGGGUAACGGCUCACCAAGGCUAUGAUCAGUAGCCGGCCUGAGAGGAUGGCUGGCCACACUGGGAUUGAGAUACGGCCCAGACUCCUACGGGAGGCAGCAGUCUAGAAGCUUCGGCAAUGGGGGCAACCCUGACCGAGCGACGCCGCGUGCGGGACGAAGGCCUUCGGGUUGUAAACCGCUUUCGACAGAGAUGAAGAGUGAGGGAGCUAACACUUCCUUCAAGUUGACAGUAUCUGAAGAAGAAGCCCUGGCUAACUCCGUG